AUGUCCAAAAGCACAAUUCACCGUAGGUUGAAGGAGAAGGUAAUGAAACGAGUUUCAAAUGAACUGAAAUCUUCAUUACCUGAAGCCAACAAGAAGGCACGUGUGGCGUAUUGCCUUGAGAAUUUGGAGCCAAGUUCAUUGGAGGACAAUCCCACUUUUAAAGCUAGUUUUAACAAGGUUCAUUUGGAUGAGAAGAUCUUCUACCGCACAAGGAAGACACAGAAAAUGUACUUGAGUCAUAGAGAGGAAGCACCAAAAAGAGAAUGCAAACAUAAAAACCACAUCCAGCAGAUCAUGUUCUUGUUGGCUAUGGCAAGGCCAAGGUAUGAUUCUCAAGGAAAUUGUGUGUUUGAUGGAAAAAUAGGUGUGUGGGCAUUUGUUGAUUGGGUGCAAGCUCAAAAGAAGAGUGCUAACAGAGGGAGAGGAGAAUGGGAGCUCAAGCCUUCAUCUUCGGUGGACAGGAACAAAAGUAGGGAGUACAUUGUGCAGUAUGUACUGCCUGCUAUAAAGGAAAAAUGGCCUGGGAGUGAUAGAUGGAACACCGUGUACAUUCAGCAAGACAAUGCAAGAACUCAUGUUUUAGCAAAUGAUCCCAUUUUUGCAAUGGAAGCGGCAAAGGGAGGUUGGGAUAUCAGAAUUGUAAAUCAACCACCAAAUUCACCUGACUGUAACAUACUUGAUCAAGCUUGUAUGAGGGAAAUUAUUAAGCACAAGGGGUCGAUGCACUAUGAUACACCUCACAUGAAGAAAAAAACAUUAGAGAGGCUAGGUCUACUGUCAGUCCGUCUGACGGUUGAUAAAGAUUAUGUUGACGCUGCCAUUGAGUAUUUGAACUCACCUUAG
rnacentral:rRNA from 1 species